CCCUUAGAUGUUCUGGGCCGCACGCGCGCUACACUGAUACAAGCAGCAAGUCGUUUCCUGGGCCGAAAGGUCUGGGUAAUCUUGUGAAAUUGUAUCGUGAUAGGGCUUGACGAUUGUAAUUAUUUGUCACAAACGAGGAAUUCCUAGUAAGCGCAAGUCAUCAACUUGCACUGAUUACGUCCCUGCCCUUUGUACACACCGCCCGUCGCUCCUACCGAUUGAAUGUUAAGGCGAACACUCUGGAAUCGUGGCCUUGAUUGGGCAACCUUUCUUGACCAAUGAUGAAGUUGUGUAAGCCUUGACAUUUAGAGGAAGGAAAANUCGUANCA
rnacentral:rRNA from 1 species